UCUCACAUCAGAGAAUGGAAUGGGCGUA
rnacentral:piRNA from 1 species